rnacentral:ncRNA from 1 species
CGCCUUUGUGAGAAAUCAUAACGGUGACCAGUCAGAAGUCAGCAGAGGUAAUAGUAGUCAAAUGCCGAUCUGUAAUGGGCCGGACACGGCGAAGUAC